AGAGUUUGAUCCUGGCUCAGGACGAACGCUGGCGGCGUGCCUAAUACAUGCAAGUCGAGCGGACAGAAGGGAGCUUGCUCCCGGAUGUUAGCGGCGGACGGGGAGUAACACGUGGGUAACCUGCCUGUAAGACUGGGAUAACUCCGGGAAACCGGAGCUAAUACCGGAUAGUUCCUUGAACCGCAUGGUUCAAGGAUGAAAGACGGUUUCGGCUGUCACUUACAGAUGGACCCGCGGCGCAUUAGCUAGUUGGUGAGGUAACGGCUCACCAAGGCGACGAUGCGUAGCCGACCUGAGAGGGUGAUCGGCCACACUGGGACUGAGGCACGGCCCAGACUCCUACGGGAGGCAGCAGUAGGGAAUCUUCCGCAAUGGACGAAAGUCUGACGGAGCAACGCCGCGUGAGUGAUGAAGGUUUUCGGAUCGUAAAGCUCUGUUGUUAGGGAAGAACAAGUGCAAGAGUAACUGCUUGCACCUUGACGGUACCUAACCAGAAAGCCACGGCUAACUACGUGCCAGCAGCGCGUAAUACGUAGGUGGCAAGCGUUGUCCGGAAUUAUUGGGCGUAAAGGGCUCGCAGGCGGUUUCUUAAGUCUGAUGUGAAAGCCCCCGGCUCAACCGGGGAGGGUCAUUGGAAACUGGGAAACUUGAGUGCAGAAGAGGAGAGUGGAAUUCCACGUGUAGCGGUGAAAUGCGUAGAGAUGUGGAGGAACACCAGUGGCGAAGGCGACUCUCUGGUCUGUAACUGACGCUGAGGAGCGAAAGCGUGGGGAGCGAACAGGAUUAGAUACCCUGGUAGUCCACGCCGUAAACGAUGAGUGCUAAGUGUUAGGGGGUUUCCGCCCCUUAGUGCUGCAGCUAACGCAUUAAGCACUCCGCCUGGGGAGUACGGUCGCAAGACUGAAACUCAAAGGAAUUGACGGGGGCCCACACAAGCGGUGGAGCAUGUGGUUUAAUUCGAAGCAACGCGAAGAACCUUACCAGGUCUUGACAUCCUCUGACAACCCUAGAGAUAGGGCUUUCCCUUCGGGGACAGAGUGACAGGUGGUGCAUGGUUGUCGUCAGCUCCUGUCGUGAGAUGUUGGGUUAAGUCCCGCAACGAGCGCAACCCUUGAUCUUAGUUGCCAGCAUUCAGUUGGGCACUCUAAGGUGACUGCCGGUGACAAACCGGAGGAAGGUGGGGAUGACGUCAAAUCAUCAUGCCCCUUAUGACCUGGGCUACACACGUGCUACAAUGGACAGAACAAAGGGCUGCGAGACCGCAAGGUUUAGCCAAUCCCACAAAUCUGUUCUCAGUUCGGAUCGCAGUCUGCAACUCGACUGCGUGAAGCUGGAAUCGCUAGUAAUCGCGGAUCAGCAUGCCGCGGUGAAUACGUUCCCGGGCCUUGUACACACCGCCCGUCACACCACGAGAGUUUGCAACACCCGAAGUCGGUGAGGUAACCUUUAUGGAGCCAGCCGCCGAAGGUGGGGCAGAUGAUUGGGGUGAAGUCCUAACAAGGUAA
rnacentral:rRNA from 1 species